AUGGCAAAGCACUUGCAGAGCUGUAUUUGUAGGGAUCUAGAAAAUCUAUUUUCGUUUAUGUUUUCAAGUCUGUUUAACUUGGUGAAGCUAACAAAUAAAGAAACAUUCUACAGCUAUCAUGAAAGUCCUUCCUUUGCUUCCAAGAUCCGUGGGUUCAUGUCUUUCAUAAAUGUGAACUCAUUCAAAUCUUUUCACAAUUUCCCCCACUUUUUUUUUAAUAUAUCCUUUUCUUUCUCACAGGUGUCAGAACACAAUGACAGCUUUGAUCUUACUGGAGUUUCUGCAUCCUCCCAACUGCUGCCAGCAUGCCACAGCUCUCACUGAAGCCUACUCACUCCUUUGUUGCUGGAAUCCUUAUAGGCCGGGAAUCUGAAAUGCCUUUCCCAUAUAGAUCAUCCCCAAGCACUAAUGACGAGCAACAGUUCUCUGCACCAUCAGGUCAAAAAUAUAAUGCAAGCAUGGCUUUGAUUCCAACAUGAGUUUUUCCAUCUCAGGCACCACUAUGGUUUGAAGCCCUCAGACAGACUAAUCCAGUGCUUAGCAGUUAUAGGCUGUGUCCCUCCCUCCUUCCCUCCCUCCUCCUUCCCUCCUUUUAUCUGCUAAUGCACAGGAAUAGACAAGCAAAAAAAUCCCUUCAAACAAAGUUAUGGGAGAGAGAAGAACUCUAUCACCUACAGUAUUUGCCUAACACUGGUGACUAAACUUGAGAGGUUUAUGCUGUUUGAACUAUAUCCCUGGAGUGCUAAUAAGAAUUAAAAUAUUGUCUUAAGAGUUGCAGUGACCUUAAAAGACAAUGUUCUCCUAUGCUUUCAUAUCAGCAAUCAGAAAAUAAAGCAGAAGGCAGUAGGUAUGGAAUUAAAAAUCCUCAAAGGUGCAAUUAAGCUGCAUUUUGAUGCAUCCCAAAGGUGUUCAAAAUUACCAGCCUGAAGCCAGGAACAACCCAUGCCCAGGUGUGCAAGGGUCGAAGCUUUCUCACACAUUUUUAUGGAAUAUCUUAGCCUAGAUCAAAGCAUCCACCUUCAAGAUGGGGAGUGGGCAUACCUCUUUGCCUAGACUCCCAUACACAAUGAGAUUUUCAGCUAUACCAGAUCUAAGUAAAGAUGAAUGAUACAAGACCCUGGGAAAGGUGACAUGGGAGCAAAAUACCUUCCUCAUUAAAAACAACCCAAAACAAUCUUGGCACUUUCAUCACUGCUGGACAAAAGUAAGUAUUGUAAUAGGAGCUAACAGUUCUCUCUUUUUUGCAUACCUUAGAAAAAUGAUUUUUUUUCUAAGCCCAGUGCCAUAGGAUGCCUGGAGCCAUCAUUUCAAUAAAAGGUGACCCAAACACCCCUGGGAAACACAGGGAAGAGUGACUUACAUCUCUGUCUUCAGAAAAAGCAAUAACUCAAGUUUAAUAAGGAGUCCCUCCUGCAUUUGUGAUACAUCAGGUUAAACACUCAAAACUGCACAGAGGAGCUUUAUGCACACCAACAGACACCCCAUAUUGAUGCACUGAAUUCUAUCUUCUGUAUUUUUAAAAAAAAUUACAUUGAUCCAUCAGUUCUUCAAAACACUGACAAUUCUUUUUUUGGCAUCAACUCUGAGGCAACACAGAUUCCUUUAAGUGGAGGAAUAAGCUCCACAUGCACACCUUCCUGCCACAACUUGCAAAGCAAAAGCAAAGCUGACCAGUUAAACCAUAUCUAAAAAAAUUUACACCCUCAGCCUGAUAUUCCCAGGCAGAAAUGUGACUUGUCAGCAGUUCCUAAUGCUGGGAAAUGAAUCUGUGUGUUAAGUUCUAAAAUGAACACAAGACAACAAAAAUGGAUGCCUAAAAUGCAGUCAGCUUCAUACGAUGUUUACACCUAGUUUGGUUACAAAAAAAAUACCUUGAUACACUUGACCAGCUCAGGCAGAGGGUGAAAAUACAAAAAGUUUUUUCUAAAUCUUUUUUUUCCUAUGUCUGGCAUUUCUCCCAUGUAUUUUCACAAACCAGAUAAGAUGACUACAAGUCUCUGAGAGGGUUAAGCAGAGACAACCAUGAGCUCCAUGUAGCAAAGCUCCCUGUCAUGAUAAAACAUGAACAGUACUGAGCCGAAUUCAAGGCUGGUGUAACUGAAGUAACCCCAGAGGGUUGCAGAGGGACAGAUUUGCACACACACUUCCCUUCUUUUUCUAAAUAUACUGUUUCUGCUUUACAGAAUCCAAAGCAGAGUCCCAACAGGCAAAGGAAUCAACUCUAACACAUGCGCCACAAUAAUGAAAAAGGAAACUCUCCACACUUUCCAU
ensembl:lncRNA